rnacentral:rRNA from 1 species
UACGUAGGGUGCAAGCGUUGUCCGGAAUUAUUGGGCGUAAAGAGCUCGUAGGCGGUUUGUCGCGUCUGCUGUGAAAACGCGAGGCUCAACCUCGCGCCUGCAGUGGGUACGGGCAGACUAGAGUGCGGUAGGGGAGAUUGGAAUUCCUGGUGUAGCGGGGGAAUGCGCAGAUAUCAGGAGGAACACCGAUGGCGAAGGCAGAUCUCUGGGCCGUAACUGACGCUGAGGAGCGAAAGCGUGGGGAGCGAACAGG